CGUCAAGUGAUGAGAGAAAUAACUGCAACAAAAUGAUCGAACUUUGUGUUCGUGAUUACCUAUAGUAUUUAAGUCUCUGAUGUUG